GUUGAUUCUGCCGGAGGCUACUGCUAUCGGGGUCCGAUUAAGCCAUGCGAGUCGAGAGGUGCAAGACCUCGGCAUACUGCUCAGUAACACGUGGACAACCUAACCUAUGGAGGGGGAUAACCCCGGGAAACUGGGGAUAAUACCCCAUAGACUAUGGAUGCUGGAAUGCUCUGUAGUUGAAAGGUCCGCCGCCAUAGGAUGGGUCUGCGGCCGAUUAGGUUGUUGUUGGGGUAACGGCCCAACAAGCCUGUAAUCGGUACGGGUUGUGGGAGCAAGAGCCCGGAGAUGGAUUCUGAGACACGAAUCCAGGCCCUACGGGGCGCAGCAGGCGCGAAAACUUUACAAUGCGGGAAACCGUGAUAAGGGAACUCCGAGUGCCCGUAAAAUCGGGCUGUCCAUCUGUUUAAAUAACAGGUGAAGAAAGGGCCGGGCAAGACCGGUGCCAGCCGCCGCGGUAAUACCGGCGGCUCGAGUGGUGGCCACUAUUACUGGGCUUAAAGCGUUCGUAGCUGGUUUGUUAAGUCUCUGGGGAAAUCUGCCGGCUCAACCGGCAGGCGUUCCAGGGAUACUGGCAGACUAGGGACCGGGAGAGGUGAGGGGUACUCCAGGGGUAGGAGUGAAAUCCUGUAAUCCUUGGGGGACCACCUGUGGCGAAGGCGCCUCACCAGAACGGCUCCGACAGUGAGGGACGAAAGCUGGGGGAGCAAACCGGAUUAGAUACCCGGGUAGUCCCAGCCGUAAACGAUGCGCGUUAGGUGUAUCGGUGACCACGAGUCACCGAGGUGCCGAAGAGAAAUCGUGAAACGUGCCGCCUGGGAAGUACGGUCGCAAGGCUGAAACUUAAAGGAAUUGGCGGGGGAGCACCACAACGG
rnacentral:rRNA from 1 species